rnacentral:misc_RNA from 1 species
AUGGCUUUGCAUAUGGCAGGGUGGCCCAUAAGUGAUAAAAUUAAUUUGUUGGGUCUGAAUCAUAAAAAGUAGCAUUUCUCAAUAGGAUCGCAAUGCAGUUUUAGCACUGUCUNNNNNNNNUCACUGUGAGGACGUGUUAUUGUAUUCUCCGGCAACCCAAUACUGUUUGACAGCAAACAACACCUUUUCUGAGACAAGUGGACCAUCCUCAUGAUCCACCAUUUUUG